AAUAAUAAAUAAAUAUAAUAAAGUCUACUAGGGGGAUGGUUUGGGGUGGGUUCCAGAUUUCUAUAGUUGCUUUGUAUUUUUGUAUUUCUUGACCUUAACAAAGGAAAGAAAACUCUAACAGUUGUUAAAAAAAAAAGAAACGAUAAUUUAAUUGUGGCCAAAACGUAAAGUUUUAGAAUUUGGAAAAUUUUAAUUUAAAUGAGUUCAAAUAAGUAUAUGUGUCUACUUUUUUUCUAUUUCUAGAUCGCUAAAGUGAAUCUGACAUUGAUCAUGUGACUCCUUUGCAUAGAUGGUCAAAGUUUAAGUGUAAGCACAUGAUGCUCUUUGGAAUGAUCAAGCUUUGUUUGUCACUUCAAGUGCAGCUGCAAAAGAAAUUCUAAAAAUAAAAACAAUGAGAUAAAACCACUUUUAUUUAAAAAUAUGUAUUUUGAAAAAUAAAAAAAUGUGCAUUUAACUACUAGUCUCAGACUUUUUGAAACCAUUGAAUAUUGUGUAAUAUUUUGGAAUGGUUGCUCACCAAGUGACCCCCUCUGGUGAUGGUAGCUGUAGCCAGACUUAGGGACAGCUAAGAGCAGGGAUAGGCAAUGUCGAGUUUUGCUCAAACACACCUGAACAAGGUAAUCAGUGUCUUCAGGAUUAUUACGGUUACAGGCUGGCAAGUUUUUUGUGUUUUUCUUUUUUCUUUUUCUGGAUUGGUACUAAGCUAUGCAGGACAGCGGCACUCCAGGGCUGACGUUGCGUAUCCCUGUCUUAGAGCAUCUAGUAAACCAGGAUCAAAUUUAGUGUGUGGUUGACAUUUUGAAAUAUAUAAAUAACAUUUUCUAUCUUUUUUGUUUAUGUUUCCAAAUUAAAUAUGUAUUUCAUAUUUCAGUGCAAUUUUAGAUAUUGUAUAAAAAAUUACAUUUAAAAAAAAAAUCCAUAAAAAUGCACUCUGACCAGAAUGGGUUUUCUUAAUGCACUGCAUCAUGUGCCCAGGCUAAAGGUUUAACGGAUAGCCCCAGUGUUGUGCUUCAAAGCCUGUUGCUGUCCCUCAGAGAGCUGAUCGAGGGGCCAUACCCUUCAAGUUGUCUUGUUUACAUUGCAUUGUUUCCUUUACUUUAGCCCUGAGGACAAAGAUAACCUGUUAAAUUCCUUUGAGUGCCUCUGUUAUAGAAGAGAUCUGAUAGUAUGUAGGACAUGUCUCAUCUGUAGACAUCCAUCACUUGCAUGAACUCUAUGGCUCCUCUCACAUAUAGUAAUGUAUGUGCUAAGCUUUAUGAAGCUCUUAAAAUAGCACUUGCCAUACUUUCUCCAUCCAGUGUUAAUGAACCUCCUCCUUCCUGACUCCUCCUCUAUUUAACAAUUUCUGUUGGAGCCACUGCUUCAUCUUGAGAAACAACAGGCACUUGUCACAUCUCUCCUACCCUUCGAGUAGUUUUGUAAUAGACUGUCCCUUGUCUGAAAUGUGUUUUCUAGCUUUAUUUCUAUUUACAACCAUUAGAAAAGCAGAUCUCUUGUAGGAUUUGACCUUCAGCUGGAGUUUGUCCACCAGAUCCUGAAGACGUGCCAGAUUCUUACGGUCCUCCUCAGUCUGCGUAUAAAGUCAGGGUUGGGGAGUAACGGAAUACAUGUAACGUCGUUACGUAAUCAGGAUCCUGUUGGGGAAUCCCUUCCUGCAGAUCCUGAUGCCCUCCAGCACACCGUUACAGCGCAGCUGGUGCAUGACCAGAGG